rnacentral:rRNA from 1 species
UACAGAGGUCUCGAGCGUUGUUCGGAUUCAUUGGGCGUAAAGGGCGCGUAGGCGGUCAAGUAAGUGAGAUGUGAAAGCCCGGGGCUCAACCCCGGAACUGCCUUUGAAACUAGAUAGCUAGAAUCUUGGAGAGGUCAGUGGAAUUCCGAGUGUAGAGGUGAAAUUCGUAGAUAUUCGGAAGAACACCAGUGGCGAAGGCGACUGACUGGACAAGUAUUGACGCUGAGGUGCGAAAGCGUGGGGAGCAAACAGG